rnacentral:rRNA from 1 species
UACGGGGGGAGCAAGCGUUGUUCGGAUUUACUGGGCGUAAAGGGCGCGUAGGCGGCGUGACAAGUCACUUGUGAAAUCUCCGGGCUUAACUCGGAGCGGCCAAGUGAUACUGUCGUGCUAGAGUGCGGAAGGGGCUACUGGAAUUCUCGGUGUAGCGGUGAAAUGCGUAGAUAUCAAGAGGAACACCUGAGGUGAAGACGGGUUGCUGGGCUGAUACUGACGCUGAGGCGCGAAAGCUAGGGUAGCAAACGGG